GCGAGCUAGGGGGCGGCGUGCGCGGGAAGGCGAAGGGGGAGAGCGUUGUUCGGAUGUACUGGGCGUAAAGGGCGCGCAGGCGGCCAUAGUUGUCAGGCGUGAAAGCCCCGGGCUUAACCUGGGAGGUGCGUUUGAGACGGUGUGGCUAGAGUUCGGGAGAGGAGAGUGGAAUUCCCAGUGUAGAGGUGAAAUUCGUAGAUAUUGGGAAGAACACCGGUGGCGAAGGCGGCUCUCUGGACCGAGACUGACGCUGAGGCGCGAAAGCGUGGGGAGCAAACAGGAUUAGAUACCCCAGUAGUC
rnacentral:rRNA from 1 species